rnacentral:rRNA from 1 species
UACGUAGGGUGCGAGCGUUAAUCGGAAUUACUGGGCGUAAAGCGUGCGCAGGCGGUUGUGCAAGACCGAUGUGAAAUCCCCGGGCUUAACCUGGGAAUGGCAUUGGUGACUGCACGGCUAGAGUGUGUCAGAGGGGGGUAGAAUUCCACGUGUAGCAGUGAAAUGCGUAGAUAUGUGGAGGAAUACCGAUGGCGAAGGCAGCCCCCUGGGAUAACACUGACGCUCAUGCACGAAAGCGUGGGGGAGCAAACAGG